GUACUUGCUUCGGCAGCACAUAUGCUAAAACUGGAACAAUUUUUAGAGAAGAUUAGCACGGCCCCUGUGCAAAUUCAUGAAGCGUUCCAUAUUUUU
rnacentral:snRNA from 2 species